AGCUCUUCAAUCUAGCAUUGUUGAAAGAAGGAUAUGAAACAGGGAUUAAAAAGGUGGAAAGUUUGAUAUUGAAAAAAAAAUAUUGAUUUGAUUUGAGGGAUGUGAUUAGGGAAAAAAGGGAAUCCUAGCACCAAAUCUCUCCUUCUCUUCCUCUCUUUCACGUGGAACCCCCCCGCCCCUCUUUCACAGCCGCCUGCAUCAAACUCCGAUCGGCAGCCUUUUGUCGCCGUCCCUCGCACCGUCGAUCGAAGCCGUCCUACAGAUUGCCGCCCAGUCGAUCCGCUUAGUCGCCCUGCCAGCCAACCGCGUCUCAUUCCCUCCAGCCAUGCACCGCCAGUCGUCACUGUCGUCGUCAAGAUCCGUGUGUCCGGCAGCCCGAUUUUCCCCUGUUCCGGCAUUCAUUAGUGUAGACCCACGAUUUCAUCACUUUCGGUAGCAUGGAGCGGCAUUUUCCUCCCUUUCGGUAAGGUUCGACACACUUGCCCAUUUAAUUUUGACGUUGGAUUUGAAACACCCAUUACUUUAUGGCUCCGAAUUUCUAGGAUUAAGCGAAUUCGAUCACCGAUCAGCAAGGGUUUGGGUUGUUUUGGGCAAUUUCAGUGGAAGCAUUCACACCAAAUUCCACCAAUAUUUCCAGUUUGCCCAUACACAAUGUGGAAUUAAAGAAAGGAGAGAAAUUGGGAGAGUGAAUUUGGUUGGGGUUCUGAUAUUUCAAUGAGAGUUUAUCACUGUUAGCACCCUUGUUGUAAGUUUUUCUCACUAUCAGCAUCCCAUAUUUCCAGUUUGCCCAUACACAAUGAGCUUUACUAAUUCAAUGUUCAUUUUCAUUCGAACCCUCACUCAUAAUUUUGAUCUUCAGUUAUUGUUCAUGUUCACUAGCUUUGCUUCUUUUUUAUUUUAUUUUAUUUUUUUGGAUGAAUUUAAUGAGCCAUUUUGGUCCUUUUUUGAUUGAAGUAUGGGUGCAAAUUCAAUAUUGUUUUGUCAACCUGCUGUUUAAUAUUAUUGGGUUAGCUUCUCUUGAACAUGAAAAGAAUAUGUACGAAGCAUAGAGAAUGGUUAUGUAGUUGUACUGUUUUAGCUAGGGUUUUUUUUUGUAAAUU